GUGUCGCCAGACGCAUUGCCCGGUAGCUAAGUUCGGAAUUGAUAAGCGCUGAAAGCAUCUAAGCGCGAAGCGAGCCCUGAGAUGAGUCUUCCCUGAUACUUUAAGUAUCCUAAAGGGUUGUUCGAGACUAGAACGUUGAUAGGCAGGGUGUGUAAGCGUUGUGAGGCGUUGAGCUAACCUGUACUAAUUGCCCGUGAGGCUUA
rnacentral:rRNA from 1 species